UACAGAGGUCCCAAGCGUUGUUCGGAUUCAUUGGGCGUAAAGGGUGCGUAGGCGGCGCGGUAAGUCGGGUGUGAAAUCUCGGGGCUUAACUCCGAAACUGCAUUCGAUACUGCCGUGCUUGAGGACUGGAGAGGAGACUGGAAUUUACGGUGUAGCGGUGAAAUGCGUAGAUAUCGUAAGGAAGACCAGUGGCGAAGGCGGGUCUCUGGACAGUUCCUGACGCUGAGGCACGAAGGCCAGGGGAGCAAGCGGG
rnacentral:rRNA from 1 species